rnacentral:rRNA from 1 species
ACGCGUUGGGAGCUCUCCCAUAUGGUCGACCUGCAGGCGGCCGCGAAUUCACUAGUGAUUGGAAACAGGUGCUAAUACCGGAUAAGAAAGCAGAUCGCAUGAUCAGCUUUUAAAAGGCGGCGUAAGCUGUCGCUAUGGGAUGGCCCCGCGGUGCAUUAGCUAGUUGGUAAGGUAAAGGCUUACCAAGGCGAUGAUGCAUAGCCGAGUUGAGAGACUGAUCGGCCACAUUGGGACUGAGACACAGCCCAAACUCCUACGGGAGGCGGCAGUAGGGAGUCUUCCACAAUGGACGCAAGUCUGAUGGAGCAACGCCGCGUGAGUGAAGAAGGUUUUCGGAUCGUAAAGCUCUGUUGUUGGUGAAGAAGGAUAGAGGUAGUAACUGGCCUUUAUUUGACGGUAAUCAACCAGAAAGUCACGGCUAACUACGUGCCAGCAGCCGCGGUAAUACGAUAAUCGAAU